rfam:Oryza nivara chromosome 2, whole genome shotgun sequence.
AAUAAGUGUAGUUUUGCAAUAUUCAUGGCCAACAUUUGAUCGUUCGUCUUAUUUGAUUUUUUUAAAGAUUGGUAUUUUUAUUGUUAUUAGAUGAUAAAACAUGAAUAGUACGUUAUGUGUGACUAUUUUUUUAUUUUUUUCAUAAAUUUUUGAAAUAAGACGAAUGGUCAAAUGUUGGACACGGAUACCCACGGCUGCACUUAUU